GAUCACACCACUGCACUCCAGUCUGGGGGAGAUAAAGCAAAAUUCAAAAAAAGAAAAGAGAAGAAGAGAAGAGAAGAGAAGAGGUCUGGAAACUUUGACAAAGUUGGCCAAAGGACGUAAUUGUCAACAUUGGUUAUAUUACCAAGGCUUUGACUGGAAUGUUGUGCACAAAAUCAGAAGAAUGAGAUAUGACCAGAGAGUUUUAAGGAACUAAGGCUGAUUUUAUGGAGCCAAUGCUUAUAAAAUCCCUUGGAAAAACUGGCAUGAUACCUAGUUACAGGAUUCACAGCCUUAUGGGAGAAGAUGAUUUAAAAGAGCAUGGCACCUUCUUCCCCUCUCUCUUUUUCUUCUCCUUUGUCACGUGACAUGUCUGCUGACCUCUGCCUUCCACCAUGGGUGGAAGUUCCCUGAAGCCUUCACUAAAAGCAGAUGCUGGUGCCGUGCUUCUUCUACAGCCUACAGAAUUGUGAGCCAAAUAAGCCUUCUUUUUUUAUAAAUUAUCCAGCUUCAGGUAUUCUUUUAUAGCAACACAAACAGACUAAAACACAGUGCCAUCACUAGAGGCAUUCAAACUGCAAACCAAGAAAUGUGUUGGAUGUCCACUGUUACUGUCACUCCACCAUCUCAGGAUACUUUCAACUCAAUAUCUAGAAAAUUUUUAAUUGCACUCUGGAUUCAAAAACUGAGUUUAUAGCUUGUUUUAACAAUUAACCUUUUUUAAUUUGUGUUUUCAUAGAAAUACCCCUACUUAAAUACCUUAUUGCUUAUACCUCAUAGAGGUUUAACUUAGGUAGGCAUCCUACUUCUGCCAAUACUACUGAGUCCAGAAAUAAGACACAACUCUUUAAGCAGAGGAAUCUAAUCCCAGGACCGACAGACUGGUUCAGUGACAUAUGGGACAAUCUGCCAACUCAGUUUCUGGGCUGUAAAACUUUUGGGGAAAAGUUGCAGAUGGAGAAAUCAUAGGGUUCAGAACAUACUACCCCAAAAUAUGGCACCUUGAUAUAUUGAAUGUUUUAAGCUAAAAGAAUUUGAGAAAGAGUAAGUGCAGGAAUGACUCUGACUUUUCCCUGAAGAAAUCAUAAGAUUUUUGUAUGAGAAGUGCCCUUCCUAUACCUGGGAGAAACCAGUGUCCUUAUCUCUGAAGAUGAAGAGAGAGAGGCUGAGAGGUAUCUAAAUGAACAAGCCUUGAUAAGUUAACCCCAGUUUACUACUCUUAUCUCACACUCCCUAAUCCUACCAUAUUUUUUCAUAACUUUGUCUCUUCAUCAAACCUAGUAUAAAAAGAGUCGGGUUUAACCAUUUUUUCUUUGGGAUCUUCAUUUCAUUAUGGAGUAGCCCAUGUCACAUUAAACUUACAGUAAGCAAAUGCACCAGGUAUGGUGUUGCACACCUGUAAUUCCAGCACUUUGGGAGGCCGAGCUGGGUGGUCACUUGAUCCCAGGAGAUCGAGACCAG